rnacentral:rRNA from 1 species
AGUGAACGCUGGCGGUAGGCCUAACACAUGCAAGUCGAACGGCAGCACAGGAGAGCUUGCUCUCUGGGUGGCGAGUGGCGGACGGGUGAGGAAUACAUCGGAAUCUACUCUGUCGUGGGGGAUAACGUAGGGAAACUUACGCUAAUACCGCAUACGACCUACGGGUGAAAGCAGGGGAUCUUCGGCACUUGCGCGAUUGAAUGAGCCGAUGUCGGAUUAGCUAGUUGGCGGGGUAAAUGCCCACCAAGGCGGCGAUCCGUAGCUGGUCUGAGAGGAUGAUCAGCCACACUGGAAGUGAGACAAGGUCCAGACUCCUACGGGAGGCAGCAGUGGGGAAUAUUGGACAAUGGGCGCAAGCCUGAUCCAGCCAUACCGCGUGGGUGAAGAAGGCCUUCGGGUUGUAAAGCCCUUUUGUUGUGAAAGAAAUCCAGCUGGCUAAUACCCGGUUGGGAUGACGGUACCCAAAGAAUAAGCACCGGCUAACUUCGUGCCAGCCGCCGCGGUAA